GAUGGCCUCAGUGUAACUGUUACAGGUGUUGAUGAUGGCCUCAGUGUAACUGUUACAGGUGUUGAUGAUGGCCUCAGUGUAACUGUUACAGGUGUUGAUGAUGGUGUUAACUGUUACAGGUGUUGAUGAUGGCCUCAGUGUAACUGUUACAGGUGUUGAUGAUGGCCUCAGUGUAACUGUUACAGGUGUUGAUGAUGGCCUCAGUGUAACUGUUA